UUUGAAAAUUNAAAGUCGUAACAAGGUUUCCGUAGGUGAACCUGCGGAAGGAUCAUUACAGAAUGAAAAGUGCUUAACUGCAUUUUUUCUUACACAUGUGUUUUUCUUUUUUUGAAAACUUUGCUUUGGUAGGCCUUCUAUAUGGGGCCUGCCAGAGAUUAAACUCAACCAAAUUUUAUUUAAUGUCAACCGAUUAUUUAAUAGUCAAAACUUUCAACAACGGAUCUCUUGGUUCUCGCAUCGAUGAAGAACGCAGCGAAAUGCGAUAAGUAAUAUGAAUUGCAGAUAUUCGUGAAUCAUCGAAUCUUUGAACGCACAUUGCGCCCUUUGGUAUUCCAAAGGGCAUGCCUGUUUGAGCGUCAUUUCUCCCUCAAACCCUCGGGUUUGGUGUUGAGCGAUACGCUGGGUUUGCUUGAAAGAAAGGCGGAGUAUAAACUAAUGGAUAGGUUUUUUCCACUCAUUGGUACAAACUCCAAAACUUCUUCCAAAUUCGACCUCAAAUCAGGUAGGACUACCCCGCUGAACUUAAGCAUAUCAAUGCGGGGGGGGAA
rnacentral:sRNA from 1 species